GGUGGCUCAAUGGUAGAGCGCUUGCCUUGUAUGCAUGAGGCCCUGGGAUGGAUUCCUCAGCACCA
rnacentral:tRNA from 1 species